UUUUUUCCGGGGGUUUUGUCUGCCGGAGGUCAUUGCUAUUGGAGUCCGAUUUAGCCAUGCUAGUUGCACGAGUUUAGACUCGUAGCAGAUAGCUCAGUAACACGUGGCCAAACUACCCUAUGGAUCCGAAUAACCUCGGGAAACUGAGGCUAAUGCGGAAUAGCGUUCAUCGCCUGGAGUGGCACGAACGCGAAACGUUACGGCGCCAUAGGAUGUGGCUGCGGCCGAUUAGGUAGACGGUGGGGUAACGGCCCACCGUGCCCAUAAUCGGUACGGGUUGUGAGAGCAAGAGCCCGGAGACGGUAUCUGAGACAAGAUACCGGGCCCUACGGGGCGCAGCAGGCGCGAAACCUUUACACUGCACGCGAGUGCGAUAAGGGGACUCCGAGUGCGAGGGCAUAUAGUCCUCGCUUUUCACGACCGUAAGGUGGUCGUAGAAUAAGUGCUGGGCAAGACCGGUGCCAGCCGCCGCGGUAAUACCGGCAGCACGAGUGAUGACCGCUAUUAUUGGGCCUAAAGCGUCCGUAGCUGGCCACGCAAGUCUAUCGGGAAAUCCGCGCGCUUAACGCGCGGGCGUCCGGUGGAAACUGCGUGGCUUGGGACCGGAAGACCAGAGGGGUACGUCCGGGGUAGGAGUGAAAUCCCGUAAUCCUGGACGGACCACCGGUGGCGAAAGCGCCUCUGGAAGACGGAUCCGACGGUGAGGGACGAAAGCUCGGGUCACGAACCGGAUUAGAUACCCGGGUAGUCCGAGCUGUAAACGAUGUCUGCUAGGUGUGGCACAGGCUACGAGCCUGUGCUGUGCCGUAGGGAAGCCGUGAAGCAGACCGCCUGGGAAGUACGUCCGCAAGGAUGAAACUUAAAGGAAUUGGCGGGGGAGCACUACAACCGGAGGAGCCUGCGGUUUAAUGAUC
rnacentral:rRNA from 1 species